rnacentral:misc_RNA from 1 species
AAUAGUUAAUAAAACAAAUUACAAAUUUGAGCUUUCAGAUGCCCAUAUUCGGGUGGUGACGUACAUAUUCAAAAUUUCAUAGCUGUAGGUACCGUUGUUUUAUCACAGUAUCUGCAUAAAUGUUAUGUACGUUAAACAUACGUAUAUUUAUGCUGAUUCUUUAUUAUUAAAUAUCUUUAAAUAUAACACACAGCGAUAAUAUUCGGUAGAAACAGUUCAACGCAAAAUGCGAAAACGAAAUUAAUAGCCCUUCUGGGCUAACGCGCUUUGGGAUAAAAACGCAAAAAUAGAACAUAACAGCUUUCAUUGUCAGUGCUUAAAAAAAAAAAAAAAAAAAAAAAAAAAAAUCGAUAGGCCUUAUUUAAUUUAAUAAAAUCGAAAAGUUGAGCAAGUUGCAUAUUUUUGAGAGGAUAAAUAUGCCACGAAACCUUCAAAAUCAUUUUUUAGUUCAUCACGCACGCAUAUCUGCACACAAAAAUAACAAUACCUAUUAUUCUUCUGCAUCUCUGUUUAAAAAUGUUUUAAAAAAACAUAUGUACCGAAAAACAUUUAUUUGUAAAGUAAAAUAUUUUUUUUUUUUCGAAAAUAUUUUAAAUAAAUUUAAAAAAGAAGAUUUUUCGCGAUCAUAUUUUGCCGCGGUUAAGCCCGUGCAGCUGUCUGUCUGUCUGUCAGGUACUGAAAAAAAUCAGUACCUCGGUACUUACGUGAAAACGUGGUUUGGACUUUGCCAAAGCUAAGUUUACUUUUAAUCUAUUUUCAUCCAUUACAUUUUUUAAUAUUAUUUUUCACUUGAAAUUUGUUUUAAUACUUUGUUUUCAUAGAUACAUAUCAUUACUAUUAUUUUUAUUUUCCUUUUUUUUUUUUUUUUUUUUUUUGUAACAGUACUUUCUAGUUUGAACUUUUCACUUCUCUAUCUUCCUAUAAUGAACUAAUAUUGUUUAAUUAAACUUAUAAUUACUUUUCAUCUUUAUUAAACUUUUUUAUUUCUGAUAGUUUUGACUUUUGCAUAAUUGCCAAGUUUCUGAAAUUUCUAACAAUAAAUUUCAUUAAACUAUUUCUGUCACUGUACUGACUUUUUUGAAUAUGGCUUCUUUGCAUGAAAAACUGAAAUAUUUCUGUUUAAUUACUGACAUGCAUUUAAUUAAUACAGAGGCAGCUGCACUCGAGUUUGCCACCGAUGCUGGACUUCUUCCCAGAGAGGAUGAGGCACCACCUUGCCCCAAGUGCCAGGCACCGAUGAGAAGCAACAAGAGAAAGGAAUCAAAGCUGGGAUGGCGUUGGGUCUGCAGCCUGAGAAAUCGCAACAACUGCUCUGGCAUGAUUAACCCCAUUGAAAACACAUUUUUUGAAGGUACAAAAAUCCCAAUAAGGGAAGCUUUAGUCAUAACUGUGUACUUUGUUCUAGAUCACAGUUUCAGCUACAUAAAUCAGCAGCUAAAGCUAUGGAGGGAAAAGCAAAAAUUACCAGUAAUUGCAAAUGAGACUAUUGUUGACUUUUUAUCAUAUUGUCGUGAGGUAUGCGAAAUUUUUGCCUCUCAUCAUAGCAGAAUGUUAGGUGGUAAAGGAAAAUCUAUAUUAAUUGAUGAAACAUUUUUGACCCGCCGCAAGUACAACCGCGGCAGGGUAACCAAAAAUAUGACCAUCGUAGUUUUAGGCAUCUACUGUCGAGAAGACAAAGAAGGAUUAUUUUUCAAGGUUAAAGGAAAAAGCAAAAGGCAUUUGUGGCCUUACAUUAAACGUCAUGUUCACCCAGAAACCACCUUCAUAUACACUGACUCUGCUCCACAAUAUAAAAGGAUAGAAAAUUUAUUUCCGGCAGCAACACAUAAAACUACCAAUCACAAGAAAGGCGUAUUCGUAGAUCCCGAUGAUAAACAGAACACUAUAAAUGAUCUUGAGGGUGAAAACAAACUUUUUAAGAGGUCUAUAAAGAGCAAGAGAACAGAUGAUAUUUGCACGCAGUACAUGGCUGUACAUUAUUACAGGCGGUUCCGCUUGAAGCCCUUUACUUAUGAUGGAGAAAGACUUGCUCAGUUUCUACAGGACAUUAAAGCUGUGUAUCCAGGCCAUGGAAAAGUCGGCCUUGAACUUAAAAUGUUGGACGAACCAACAUCAGAAAGCGAAGGAAUUGAGGACCUGAUGCCUCCAAAGAAAUCAGCCCGACAAGAUGAUGAUAUACCAUUCAUUCAGGAAGAUGAUGAUAAAUGGGAGUAAGGGAACACAGACCAAGUUUUAAAACUGGAAUAAAUGAUAAGAAAAGCAUACAAAAUUCAACCAAAAAACAGAGCCCAGAAAACAAAAGGAUGGAAAUGUUGCGAAAAUGUUGCAUAUCUUUUACAGAAAGAGGUAAAUGUGUAUUUCAGUUAUUCUCAACUUUUAUUUUGACGUGAGAGCUAUUCUUUAUAUAUUUUGUUAUUCCUUCAUUAAAAUAAACUUUCUUUCACAGCUGCAGAUCCAAAAUGUCAUGAAAUACUAUGACAGAGGUAAGACAAAAUUUUAACCAUUCACAGCUUAUGUUUCAAAUUAGUGCUUCACUUUAUUUUAAUACUACUCCUUCAGUAAAAGCAACUGUAAAAUUUAUUUAGUUAUUAUUAGUAUAAGUUUACCUACUUAUUUUUCAGUAAAAAAAACUUUAUUGCAAAUUAGGUAAUCCAAAAAAAUAAAUAAAAGAAAGAAGAAAACUAAUUUUGACAGAUAAAUUGACAAACAUAGAGGUGAGUUGAUUAAUUUAAAGGUUUCCAGCCUACUUCUUACCAGAAAACAUUUUAUUGUUAAGGAUAAUUUAUCACCCCUUUCAGGUAAAGAAUAUUGCAGAAAUGAGAAAUGAAUCAUGGAAAGAAAUGAAUCUUCAGUCAGAAAAUAUACAGGUGAAUUCAUUACUUUUAAUGUUUCCAGCCUGUUUAUUUUAAUUAUGUAUUUUCAUACUACGUUUAUUAUUUUAAUUUUACCGUUUAUUUAUUAUUUUAAAUAUAAGGAUUCAAUCUUACAUUAUUAACUUCUUAAACUUGCCACCCUUUUGUGGUAAUUGUGUAUUUUUGUACUAUGUUCAAUUAUUAUUUUCUAGUUAAAAAGAGUAUGUAGUUAACAAAAGAUUAAAACUAAACAACAGAAAGAACACUUUUAGAAAAAAUAUUAAAACAUUUAAUAAAAGUGUUUAUAUAUACGCUAACUUAUGUUUUCAUUAUCGUAACCUUGUUUAGUUAUCUUGUAUUAUGAAUAUGCAUAAUAUGGAUAUUUUGUUUAGGGACUUCAAAAAUAACAUUUUGCUGCCACUUAGACGAGGGAAGAAGCAGAUGGAGAAAUCAACUCGGAUGACAAACCCAGUACCUGGGGGUAUAGCCAGGUUUUUCUUUCAAGAAACACAUCCGAGUUGAAACGACUGAUGCGGGCCACACCUGAAAGCGAAGGAACUGAGCAACUGCUGCCACCGCAGGAAAUCUCGACGAUCAUGAAAUUUAAAAUCUUGUUUACUUAUCUUGUAUUUUGAAUAUGCAUAAUAUGGAUAUUUUGUUUAGGGACUUCAAAAAUAACAUUUUGCUGCCACUUAGACGAGGGAAGAAGCAGAUGGAGAAAUCAACUCGGAUGACAAACCCAGUACCUGGGGGUAUAGCCAGGUUUUUCUUUCAAGAAACACAUCCGAGUUGAAACGACUGAUGCGGGCCACACCUGAAAGCGAAGGAACUGAGCAACUGCUGCCACCGCAGGAAAUCUCGACGAUCAUGAAAUUUAAAAUCUUGUUUACUUAUCUUGUAUUUUGAAUAUGCAUAAUAUGGAUAUUUUGUUUAGGGACUUCAAAAAUAACAUUUUGCUGCCACUUAGACGAGGGAAGAAGCAGAUGGAGAAAUCAACUCGGAUGACAAACCCAGUACCUGGGGGUAUAGCCAGGUUUUUCUUUCAAGAAACACAUCCGAGUUGAAACGACUGAUGCGGGCCACACCUGAAAGCGAAGGAACUGAGCAACUGCUGCCACCGCAGGAAAUCUCGACGAUCAUGAAAUUUAAAAUCUUGUUUACUUAUCUUGUAUUUUGAAUAUGCAUAAUAUGGAUAUUUUGUUUAGGGACUUCAAAAAUAACAUUUUGCUGCCACUUAGACGAGGGAAGAAGCAGAUGGAGAAAUCAACUCGGAUGACAAACCCAGUACCUGGGGGUAUAGCCAGGUUUUUCUUUCAAGAAACACAUCCGAGUUGAAACGACUGAUGCGGGCCACACCUGAAAGCGAAGGAACUGAGCAACUGCUGCCACCGCAGGAAAUCUCGACGAUCAUGAAAUUUAAAAUCUUGUUUACUUAUCUUGUAUUUUGAAUAUGCAUAAUAUGGAUAUUUUGUUUAGGGACUUCAAAAAUAACAUUUUGCUGCCACUUAGACGAGGGAAGAAGCAGAUGGAGAAAUCAACUCGGAUGACAAACCCAGUACCUGGGGGUAUAGCCAGGUUUUUCUUUCAAGAAACACAUCCGAGUUGAAACGACUGAUGCGGGCCACACCUGAAAGCGAAGGAACUGAGCAACUGCUGCCACCACAGGAAAUCUCGACGAUCAUGAAAUUUAAAAUCUUGUUUAUUUAUCUUGUAUUCUGAACAUAUAUAACAUGGAUAUUUUCUCUACAAAAAACUCCAAAUAGUGAACUGCCAAGUAAUACUGCUGAAAACUGCAAAAUGUGGUGCUGAAUGGUAAGUAAUAUAAAAUAUAUGUGUACACAUUAAAAUUAGAGGAUUAUGGCUCCUGGCGAAACCUCGUAAAAAAAAA